rnacentral:rRNA from 1 species
GACGAACGCUGGCGGCGUGCUUAACACAUGCAAGUCGAACGGAAAGGCCCCAUUGGGGGUACUUGAGGGGCGAACGGGGGAGGAACACGGGAGUAACCUGCCCUUGACUUCGGGACAACGGCAGUAAACUGGGGCAAAUACCGGAAAGGAAUCCUUGCUGCAUGGGGGGGGUGGGAGAGCUCCGGCGGCUUUGGGUGGAUUCGCGGCCUAUUGGCUUGUUGGUGGGGUGGUGGCUUACCGAGGCACCGAGGGGUAGCCGGCCUGUGGGAGUGAGCGGCCACCCUGACACUGAGGUGCGGCCCCGGCUCCUACGGGUGGCCGCUGUGGGGAAUCUUGCUCCAUGGGCGCCGGCUGGAUGCAGAAGCGCCGCGUGCGGGAUAGCGGCCUUCGGGUUGUAAAACGCUUUCAGCAGGAGCCAAGCUUGUGGUGACGGUACCUGCAGAAGAAGCACCGGCUAACUACGUG